UUUCGAGGUGGGAGUCUACUGAGGUGAGGUAUGGUGCUGGGUGCAGAUGCAAUGUGGCUCUGGAUAGCACCUUAUGGACAGUUGUGUCCCAAAGGAAGGAUGAGAAUAGCUACUGAAGUCCUAAAGAGCAAGCCUAACUCAAGCCAUUGGCACACCGGCAUUAGACAGAAAACUGGAAGUUGAAAUGGUGGAGUCCAACUUGUCUGGACCAGCUUAAUGGUUCUGCUCCUGGUAACGUUUUUAUCCACGGAUGGCUUGCUUGGGUAAGGACGUGAAGACAGUUCCUGUCAUACCUUUUUUAAAGGUAUGGAGAGUCGGCUUGACUACACUGUGUGGAGCAAGUUUUAAAGAAGCAAAGGACUCAGAAUUCAUGCUUGAAGAAAUGCAGGCAGACCUGUUAUCCUAAACUAGGGUUUUUAAUGACCACGACAAGCAAGCAUGCAGCUUACUGCUUGAAAGGGUCUUGCCUCACCCAAGCUGGAGUGCAGUGGCCUCUGAAGCUUACUACAGCCUCAAACUUCUGGGCUCAAGUGAUCCUCAGCCUCCCAAUGGUCUUUGUAGACUGCCUGAUGGAGUCUCAUGGCACAAGAAGAUUAAAACAAUGCUCCAAUUUUAAUAAAUUUUUGCAAUCCA
rnacentral:lncRNA from 1 species